ensembl:lncRNA
AUCAGAUCAGUCUGAGUUUAUAUCACAGCUUUGCCACAUACUGUGUGACCGUGGGAAAGUUGCAUAAUCACUCUGGGCGUUGCUUUCCUCCUCUGUAAAAUAAGGACAAUAAACCUCCCAAUCAGGGUGAUUGGAGAACAAGAGGGCAUGGUUCGCCAGGCUUUGGCAGAUUGAUUUACAUUCAUCACCUGGCUCCUGCUCCAAAUGCAGAUCUUAUUGAGAAUCUAAGUCUGAGAAAAACAUCUUAGAAAGAGAAGAGCAGUGAAGGAGCUAGCC